rnacentral:misc_RNA from 1 species
CCUGAUAUUGCAAUUUUACAACAGAAACCAGUCAACAAUAACUGCCGAAGACAACGUGAUGCUGUUUUACAAACAAAAGGGUAGAUUCUCCGUAAUCCAAUAAAUUAAGAAGGUGAAACAAAAUCACCUCAGCCAAUCACAGACGACGUCCAUUAAUUGUUUCAAAAUUGCUGCAAACACUUGUUUUUAAACCAAUUGAACUCAUAAGGCAUACGAGAGCUAGCCCCUCCCGUAAAUCCAAAUUCAAAGUAGCCAAUCCAACCAAAACACUGUAUGGGUGCCUCCCCGGUAAGAAAUUCCCAGAACUCCAGGAGUUUACCAGGACACAGUGCAUACCGCUGCACAAGAAUGAACAGAGCACAAGACACAAAGCACCAAGAGAAUAACAAAGUUCUGAAAUCAGACCUAAUGAAUGUUGAAAGUGCAUAUCAACUUAAAGAUGCCCAAUCUGGAUGUGGACAUUCAUAUAUCCAGUCAGGUCCCGAAUAUUUUACACAAUGCAGCCAUAGACCCUCUUCAUUACCCUCAUACCCUUUCGGAGCAAGAUUUGGACAAUUUGUACACAUAGGAUCAAUGCUGAAAUCUUCAUUAGAGUCAUUUUCCAUGUCACUAGUUCGAGAGAUGGGAUCUGGAGGAGAACAUGAUUUUGCUGCAGCUCUAUCCGCGCUCAAUCCUUCAGCAGCGCGACUAGACACAAAUUCAGACAUAUAGAGCAUAUCAUUGGCUAUUGGAUGACCUGUAUAUUGCAGAUGCACACGUAUCUGAUGUGUCCUGCCAGUCACGGGUUCGCACAAAACGAUGCUUUGCUUCCCAUUGGUACUAAUCCUUGUAAAUUUCGUACAGGCAGCCUUCCCCUUCAGUGAAGCAGUACUAUUUCCCUGGUUAUCCCCCACCUCAACUGUGCUCCUCCCUUCUCGAGCAUUGUAAUUGACAUUAGCAUUCACAACUUGCUGCUUCUCUGGGAAUACUCCUAUUACUCUUGCAAUAUACCGUUUCUGCACUACCCCUGAUUCUAUCUGUUGCCUGAAGAGGUCAGCCCUAGAAGCACUCCUAGCCAAAAUAAGUAGUCCUGAGACCAAGCGAUCUAGGCGAUGAACCGGAAAUAAAGGUGCCAGGCCAUACUCGGCUUGUAGUAUACCAACGACCGUAUUCUUGCGGUAUUGUCCACAUGGAUGCACAGGAACAGAAGCAGGCUUGCAAACUGUUAGCACAUCUGGUUCUUCACAUAGUAUUUCGACAUCCCACGACAUCACUGGUGGUUCAUGCCUGUGCAGGAAAUGGCUAAUUUUUUGUGAUGACUGAACUACAUAUGAAACAGACACCUUUCGUCCAUCAACUUGUAUACGUCCAGACUUAACGGCAGAUUCAUAGUAAUCACGAGGUCUUCCUUUAAAUUCAUCAGAGAAGAGAUCAACAAUUGUCUUUCCAGCCCACCUAUUCUUCACAUGGGAGAUGAAUUCGAAGUAGUAAGGCUUAACAUAGCGUACUCCAUUACGGAAGAUGUAGUCAUGGCGUUCCGGUGGGUUGGCCGGAGUUUGCCACACAAUCUCCAUAUCCUCUCGC